UACGUAGGGGGCAAGCGUUGUCCGGAUUUAUUGGGCGUAAAGAGCGUGUAGGCGGCUUUACAGGUCCGUUGUGAAAACUCGAGGCUCAACCUCGAGACGCCGGUGGAAACCGUAAAGCUAGAGUCCGGAAGAGGAGAGUGGAAUUCCUGGUGUAGCGGUGAAAUGCGCAGAUAUCAGGAAGAACACCCGUGGCUAAGGCGGCUCUCUGGGCCUGACCUGACGCUGAGGAGCGAAAGCGUGGGGAGCGAACAGG
rnacentral:rRNA from 1 species